AUCUUCGGGGCGGGGUGCAAUUCCCCACCGGCGGUAUAGUCCGCGAACGCUGCCCGCAGCAGCGCCGAACCGGUGAAAUUCCGGUACCGACAGUACAGUCUGGAUGAGAGAAGAUG
rnacentral:ncRNA from 1 species